GCAUUAGUAGCUCAGAGCCAGAGCGCUGGUCUUGUAAACCAGAUGCCGGAGGUUAAACUCCUCCCUAUUGCU
rnacentral:tRNA from 2 species